ensembl:lncRNA
AUGCGCGCAAGGGCUGCCCUGUACGACGUUUCGCUUCUCUGCGGUUCGUGGUGCCUGAAGUGGGAAGUGAGGCGAUGGCGGCGAAGGAGGGUGGCGGAGGGGGGAGGGAGAGAGAGGAACGGGUCGAUAAAGGGCGGAGGGGCAGCGGGGGAGCUUGGCUUCGUCACUCCCACACAAGGACGGGGGUUGGUGCAAGGAAAAGCUGUGCCUUCCCGCCCUUCCCCUCUAGUGCAGGAAUGCCGUUGUUGUUUCUGCCGAAAUAAGCGUGUCGGCGCCGGCGCUGAGUACGUUGUAGUAGCAAUUCUACAAUAGAAGAUCCUGAUUUACAUCAUCGUGAUGUCUUACUGUGGGGAAAGGCAGCAUGAAUUAUAGGAUGACUGGCGACUAUUUAUUUAUUUUUUUUUUGCUUACAAGAAGAUAAUUUAAAAGAAAGAAUGCUUACAAUUGCGAUUCAAUUUUUUUAACAAAAUUAAAUGGUACUAUCUGAAGGAACAUUGAGACAGGCUACAGUGCUUAAAAUUGUACACAACAACAAGCUGACAUAGGAGAUGUAACAGGUGGAAGGGAUGCUAUGGAUCAUUAAGACCAGCCCUUGUCAGGGAGGCACAGUGGGGAAUCUAACUCCCAACCUCUGGCUCUGCAGCCAGAUACCUAAAUCACUGACCUAUUCAGCAGUUCAGUUGUUUCCUUGAAGUAAAAGUAAUAAUAUAUUGUGGUGAGACUAACCUAUAAUUUCAUUAGUAAUAGUUUGUUAGUGAAAUCAGUUGAUUUUUUAAUGGCAUCAGUUAGCAUAGAGACCAGUAGUAAGUAGAUAAAUUUUGGGGAAACAUAUUUGGAAAUAGGAGGAAUCUUUGGUUUUCCUCACUGAAUUCUGAAAGAGAAAAUUACAUUUUUUGGAUGUGUGAGUACUGUAUUUUUCCAUGUAUAAAACACCCUCAUGUAUAAGGCUGCCUCUGCUUUUCUAACCCAACAUUAAGAAAUCACUAUUUUAAACAUAAAACAGAACACAUUUCUUUUUUUAAAAAAAGUAUUCAAAUACUAAAGGCAUAUUUAGUACUGGUAAUUAGGUAAUAUUUUAAAGAUGAAAUUUUGCAUCACUCUCCAUGGUGGGCAUAUAACUUGCUUCAACCUUGGUGGAUGCAAGGUUCUCUAAGCUGGGCUCGCGCGUGCAUGUGUCUCUGCUUCCUUCCGCACAGCGUUCUUCCUCCUUGAUCACAUUCAACCCCUUAGGUUCCAGUCAUGAGGGAACCCCGCGUGCGGGGGGGGGGGCAGAGUCACACAGGCACACAGGGAUGAAGUCGCACAUGGGAGAGGUGGAGCCCCGCCCAUUGGUGUUGAAAAUUACAGAGUAUGUUGGGCCGAAGUCUGUAGAGACAAGGUAUCAGCAGUUUUGCUGUGCAACUGCGGGGUUUUCUCAACCUGUUAUCCCUGUGUAUAAGACACACACACCCCAAUUUUUGGUCUAGACAUUUUAGAAAAAAUGUAAUCUUAUACAUGGAAAAGUACAAGAUAUAGGAAUAAAGAUGGUUCUUUGGAUAGAGGUUUAUAUAGA